rnacentral:misc_RNA from 1 species
AACGCACAUUGCGCCCAUUGGUAUUCCGAUGGGCAUGCCUGUUCGAGCGUCAUUAUCCUCCCUCAAACCUCGCGUUUGGUGUUGGGUCGGAAGCGGGACUUGUCCCCCUUCGACCCCAAAGACAAUGACGGCGUCCGUUGGGACCCUCGGUGCAACGAGCUUCUUUGGAGCACGCACUGUGGUGGUUCUCCCUCCGGGCUGGUCUCAACCCUUUUUACAUUUACCAGGUUGACCUCGGAUCAGGUAGGAAUACCCGCUGAACUUAA